rnacentral:rRNA from 1 species
GACGAACGCUGGCGGCGUGCUUAACACAUGCAAGUCGAACGAAGUGGCGAACGGGUGAGUAAUACGUGGGUAACCUGCCCUCCUUUUUGGGAUACGCCUUGGAAACGGGGUCUAAUACCGACUAAAGGGGGAUGGGCUCGGGGCCUAUCAGCUUGUUGGUGGGGUGAUGGCCUACCAAGGCGGUGACGGGUAGCCGGCCUGAGAGGGAGACCGGCGACAAUUGGACUGCGGUACGGCCCAGACUCGGACGGGAGGCAGCAGUGGGGUGUAUUGCGCAAUGGGCGAAAGCCUGAUGCGGCGGCGCCGCGUGGGAGAGGAAGGCUUUCGGGUUGUAAACCUCUUUCGGUAGCGAACGGGUAUGAGGAGAAGAAGAGCCGGCUAACUACGUGCCAGCAGCCGCCGCGGUAAUUC